CCUACGGGAGGCAGCAGUGGGGAAUAUUGCACAAUGGGCGAAAGCCUGAUGCGGCAACGCCGCGUGAGCGAUGAAGGCCUUUGGGUCGUAAAGCUCUGUCCUUGGGGAAGAAAAAAAUGACGGUACCCUUGGAGGAAGCCCCGGCUAACUACGUGCCAGCAGCCGCGGUAAU
rnacentral:rRNA from 1 species